GUCUUAUUGAAUAUAAUUUUAAGUCUAAUCUGCUCAAUGAUAUAAUUAAAUAGCUGCAGUAUAAGUAACUGUACAAAGGUAGCAUAAUAAAUAGUUUUUUAAUUGGAAACUGGAAUGAAUGNUUAAAUGAAAUAUAAACUGUAUUAAAUUUAUAAAUUGAAUUUUUUAUUUAAUUAAAAAAAAUUAAAUAAUUUUUAAAGACGAGAAGACCCUAUAGAAUUUAAAAUAAUUUAUUUUAAAUUAUUAUAAAAUAAUAUUAUUUUUAAUUGGGGCAAUUUUAAAAUUUAAAAAAUUUUUAAUUAAAUUAAACAAUAAUUUUUGAAUUUAAAUUAUUUUUUUAAAAAAAUAAAUUAAAUUACCUUAGGGAUAACAGCAUAUUUAAAUUUUGAAGUUCAAAUUUUUAAAAAAGUUUAU
rnacentral:rRNA from 1 species